AGUCUACGAAACCCCACAGCUCCUAAGAAUUCUCUCACCUGCCUUCUGCCCUUAAGCUCCGGUAGAUUGCAAAUAACCUGCUUUCUUUCUGUUCCCGAGCUGCGUUCGGACCCAUGUCUUAUUGUAAAUCCCACGCAAGCUCCGGUAGAUUGCAAAUAACCUGCUUUCUUUCUGUUCCCGAGCUGCGUUCGGACCCGUCUGAUCGUAAAUCCCAUGUAAGGUACCUGCCGUCGGAAGAUUUGAACGUUCUACUUGGACACCUAAAACCCACAGUCCUCCAGACAGAAAGACAACAGGUACAAAGCCCUAAGGAUUAUAAAGGUAUGCUGCUUACCAUCAUCUUAGUGACCAAGGCAGCGAAGCUGUUUCUGUACCUUGGAACAGUCUUCCCUGACAAGCCAGAGAACAGUGAUAAAGCCACCAGCCUUGGGAUCAGGACUGAAAAGGCAAGAGUGAUGGAGAUUUCUCCUGCGCUAAGCCAAGAGAAGGUUUCAGCACUUCAGACAGCUCCCACCGAAGUAGCCGCGCUCCCAGCUGCUUGCAGAUGUUGAAAAGGAAAGCCUCGGUUUGUCUUGAGGUUGUCAGCAGGUGCAAGACACGUAAUAAAAUGCAAUGUGUUCCUAAUUCAUUGCAUAUCCUCAGCUUUAAA
rnacentral:lncRNA from 1 species